ensembl:lncRNA
UGAUCACAAGACAAGUUCUCUAACAUACUUGUGAAGUGUGAAUAUUUAAGUGAGAGUUGAGAGUGUUGAGAAGCCUUGUGGGGAUUAACUGUUGAAUGAGGAAGCUUGCUGUGUUUUUCAGUCUUCUGAAACAUCAAAUUGUGGCAAAGCCUCCACUUUGAGAACAUGAGUAACCAACAGCAGCACUUCCUCUCAAUGUCCAGGCCUCAGCAUGGGAAUACUGCACAGCCAGGGUACUCCAGUCAGUCUUCCCACUACUGGAAACAAAAAUCCAUGGAAGGGCCCAUAGAAUUUAAAGACCCCUCUACAGGAGAAUUAAGCGCACAGCAGACAUCCAGUCCCAGACGAGGCAUGCUGAAGAGACAGACUGGAGUGGACGAUGGGUAUCCUAUAGCAACACAGUGACAAGAUGCAUUACAGUAGAAAUCAUACUUAUAAAGUUGAGCUGCUUCUCCUGACACUUUAGCUUGACAUUUGUAUCAAGGUUGUUAAUUCUAGCCUGCUUCAUGUGUUUUUGGGAAAAUAGAAAGUAUUCAUUGUACAUUUAUUGUCUUUAUGCUGCUUUCACCUUUAUUUCAAAAUGAAAAAAGCACUCUAAAUCACAUAUUCAUUUUACAGUGGACCAAUGAAGUGAUUGGAUUUCAUAGAGUAUAACAUGUCUGAUGUUCUUCAUGGGGAUUACUUACAUUCUGGGACUUGUACUGAAAUUGCAUGUAUUGUGCAAAUGUAUUGUGUAGGUCAAGCUAGUACUCUGUGAGUACUUUACUAUUUUAAGUGCUGUUCUUUUGUAAAUAUAUUUACAUUUUCAGAUGGAGAUGCUGAACAGCAGAUUUCUUUACUUAACCUAGUUCAGUGAUAUUCUAUAAAUAAUCUCCACCUGAUAACUGUAAUAUGAUUAGGCCAUUGUCUUUUAAACUGCAUGUAAUGGGCUGACCUCCUUCCCUCUGUUCCAAAGGUCAGCACAUUAAUACUAUUUCGAUUCUAAUUUUGCCAGACACAUUAAGUUUGACAUUUGAACCUUCAUUACAACAUGUAAUGUAUCUUCAGGGUUGUGUUCAAUGAAUCAAAAUCAAUGAUUUGCACCUUUAUGUAAUAAUAAUAAAAAAGGCUGUAACUUUAUUCUGUUAAAAAAAAAAAAAAAUUGUAAUGACUCUUUCCUCCAGCAGAUGUCAGUAUUGUCACAUUCUGAACAUUGACGGCUCAGGCUGUGUAGGGUCUUGGAGGAUAGCACAGCGUGAUGCAGGUUCACUCUAGUCUUUCACUCUAUAAUUUCCCCCCUGCUGAACAAGGCUCAAAUCUAUGCAGGAAAAUGCCUUACCUCGCUAUAUAAGAGCUUUGCAGAGUAAUAGUCACUCUGCUGUAUUCAUAUGGGCCAAGAGAGCUAAAAUGAGAGACGGCCAAUUCGGAUGAUGAUAUUUAUGAUUAAUACCAGUUAUGAGGCCUGCAGAGAAAAAUACAUUGUGAAGCUUGGCGGGCACAGCACCUGCUGGGCUGCAAGGGUCUGACCUGUGUUUAGAGUACCACUUCUCUUCAAGAGCCACCUACCAAUUAAAUUGUCUUAGAUUUUAGUUCAGAUGCCUAUAUUUACUAUAAUGUAGCAGCUUUAUAGGAGGCAGUAUUUCGGUUUCAGCACCAGGCUGAUGAUAGGAUAAGUGGAAAAGAGCUAAGACCUGAAUUUUUCGGUUUCAGUCAAAGAAAGGUCACACAGUUCAGUGUAUUUUUUGCUUUUUUUCAGCUUGUGAGCUGAGAUCUCUUAGUAGGUAAAGUAGGUAUUAGUCCAUUGGCACUGUCUGUCUGUUUACUUCAUUCUUUACACCAUUAACCACAGUUACAGAUUGUAUGGUGAAAUUUAGUAUACUGGAUUUGGAGCACUGAAAUGUUCUGUAGUACCUGAUUCAGUGCAGUGUCAUUGUAAAGGAGACACGGCCGUUUUGCUGGUUCUGGGCUAAAGAGCGUAUCACCACAGCCAAAAGGCUAAAGGCUGGAACACACUCCAAUUGCCCAAUAACAAGCUCAACUAAUUGGAGAUUUAUGCUUUCCUCUAUCAUUUAAGCUCUCUUUCUCUCGUCCUUUCUCUCUCUGUGACCUGCUGUUGCCUCAUCAUAUUUCAAAGGCCUUCUCAUUCCAUUUAAAUGCUGGCUGUUCCAUUAGUGACCCUAAAAUAAGCUCAGUUUCCUUUUCUCUACAUGUCCAAUUUCUAUACUCUCUAUGGUUUCUUUUUUUGUAGGCAUAUCUUAUUAUUUGUAAGUAGUUUUUGACACAAUUUCAUGACAAAAUCUUGAAAUUAUUACACAAACUAUAAAUUGUAUUGAGCAUGCCUGCAGGUUUGUAUUCAGUUAAUUAAAAUGAUUAAUUUGCUCCAUAAUUCACUAAAUAUACUCUCAAUCUCUGUCUCUAUUUACCGUCAAGGUGAUGGGAACCAGACAUUGCAACGUCUACAAUACAAAUAUAGCUAUUUUACUGACUAUCCAAAACCACCUGUGAACCUACCUCUAGAACAGAGCAUUUCACGUCAAACCACUCUGAAUGACCUGUUUACAUAUUAAUACUAUGACAUCUGAUAUACAUAGUUUGGGCACUCUGGGUCAAUUGGAGAUCAUUAUUAACUGUAAUCUCUGUAGAGGAUGUGUUAACAAAGUAAACAACUACCAACCUUGACUCAAGAGGUGUAUAUGUGUAGGUUUGUGGGGUGGAGUCUCCUUAUCAGCUGCCUAAUAGACCAUUUUUUGUUUUUGUGUCCUUUGAUAAGGUAAGUUAAAUGAUUUGAAAGUAUGUUUUCGAAUGUGAUCAUGUGAUGCAUUGCAGCCAUUUUGACUGGCUGUUUCAUAAGACUUAUUACAUAAUGUUUAGAUGCUUGCAACUGUUGCACCUGAGUUUCAAAUGAGUUGCAAGAGACUUUACAUUAUGCAACUCAAAUGCAAUUACUGAAGCUGCAUGAAAGUUACACUGCAUAAAGCCAGCUUACUAUAGCAGUGUCAUGUUUCCAUUACCAUUAAUUGUCAUGACAGAUAUCAUGCUUCAUGAUUUAAUGGCAUAUGCUAUUUUUUUCUGUGUGCUCUAGUUUGGUGUCAACAUAUCAAAUAUAAUGAUAGUUAUCCCGACAACUAACAGUAAUGACAAAAUGACACUGCUAUAUUACUGAACACAACCUGUCGUGACAACUCAUGUUCUAUAGCAAGGUUAAAGUGUUUCUGCAUACUUUAUAGUGCACACUGAUUUGAUUGGUCAACCCUGAAGCAAAUCUCCAAGCUGUCCAAUCCCUCCGUGCUAUUUUGAAGGUACAGUUGCACGCCUUCGUUUGCAAGAUAAUAUGAUGCAGUAGUUUAUUUAUUUAUUUACUUAGUGACCAGCCUGCCAUACACAAAGUUGCGGUGCAGCUGACACUGCAAUCCAUCACUGUGUGUUUGCAUUAUUGGCUGUCCUCUGCUGUCACUCAGAGUUGUGUCUGGAGUUUCAUCGCUUUGCUAAAGCUACAUUAGCAGUUCAUGCAGGGCCUCCUGUCUGCUAUCACAUUGACUAUCUGACACCUGCUGUCCAAACAGCCAUGAUAACAAAUAGGCUAGUGAUUCUACACAAAAGACAAUUUGAUACCACACACAUCGCCAUGUUAUAGGUAUAUGCAUAAAGUGAUGUGCUACCUUUCUGUUUUGAUUAUGUUUAAUGGCUGCUUAUAAUGCAUCGCAGGCUGCGCUGUGUACAGGGAUUUGCUGCAAACAUGCAAUGCAGCACCUGAUCUCGCUGAUGAGGUCCCGUGUUGUUAAAGAACAGAGGUCAUUAGUGAAAUCAGGUGCUGUUUUAAGUCUACCCAGAUGGAAUGGAUACCUGGAUAGCCUGUGGGUAUGAAAUGUGUGAUGAAGGAUAGCUUGUAAAAUAUCUAUGAUUCAGACAUAGAACCAGAUAAUUUCUAAUUGGUGUUAAAGUAACUCACCAGAUUUUUCUUAAUAUAAAUGUAUAAGUAUUAUAGGUAGUAAUAGUAAUAACUAUUACAUCAAAAGUCAGGGGAUUGCUCCAGGCUCAUGUGUAACUAUUUGCCAGUAUCUACAGUUGUGUGCAACUUUUUUUGUUUGGGCACCCCAGUCACAUUUUGUCAAUACCUCCUCAGCAACAAACAAAUAUGAAUAUACCUAAAUAUGACACAUUGUUUAUUUUCAGGGAUUUUCAGGUCGCCCUAGGACCCGCUGGAGGGAUUAUGUCUCCAAGUUGGCCUGGGAGCGGCUUGGGGUCCCCGGGAAUGAGCUGGAGGAAGUUGCGGGGGACAGGGUCAUCUGGGAUGCUCUGCUCUCCCAACUGCUUCCGCGACCCUGUUUGGACUAGCGGGCAACAAUGAUGAUGAUGUUUAAUACGGC